AACGCGAAGAACCUUACCCAGGCUUGAACUGUAGGAGACUGGCUUAGAAAUAAGUCGUUCCGCAAGGACUGCUACAGAGGUGCUGCAUGGCUGUCGUCAGCUCGUGCCGUGAGGUGUUGGGUUAAGUCCCGCAACGAGCGCAACCCUUAUCAUUAGUUGCCAACGCGUAAUGGCGGGGACUCUAGUGAGACUGCCCGGGUUAACCGGGAGGAAGGUGAGGAUGACGUCAAGUCCGCAUGGCCCUUAUGUCUGGGGCUACACACGUGCUACAAUGGUCGGUACAGAAGGCAGCAAGACCGCGAGGUGGAGCAAAUCCUAAAAAACCGCCCCAGUUCAGAUUGCAGUCUGCAACUCGACUGCAUGAAGUCGGAAUUGCUAGUAAUGGCGUGUCAGCUACAUCGCCGUGAAUACGUUCCCGGGCCUUGUACACACCGUACGUC
rnacentral:rRNA from 1 species